UAUAAGCUGGCCUAUUUGGAAGCGUAGAACCAGGAACAAAAUCAAUCUGAUGCUCAAUCCCUCUAAGAGGUGGAAGACCAAUUGGAUUAUCUUCAGGAAAUACAUCUUCAAAUUCCUGUAAAAGACACUUAAUUUCACUCGGAUAUACCGGUGUUGGGUCAGUAACAUUCAAAAGAGACUCUUUAAAGAUAAGUAAAAGAAUAGAUUGAUGAGCAUUGAGAGUUCUUUUGAUUUCACCCGAUUUGGCAUAGAGACUAUGCUGCUUCUUUGAUUCAGGUUUGAGGUCUAUUUCUUUCUUCUUUUGUAGCUGCAGUUGAUCUUGAUGAACUUCCUUUGGUGUUAG
rnacentral:lncRNA from 1 species